rnacentral:rRNA from 1 species
AGUCGUAACAAGGUUUCCGUAGGUGAACCUGCGGAAGGAUCAUUAAAGAGUAAGGGUGCUCAGCGCCCGACCUCCAACCCUUUGUUGUUAAAACUACCUUGUUGCUUUGGCGGGACCGCUCGGUCUCGAGCCGCUGGGGAUUCGUCCCAGGCGAGCGCCCGCCAGAGUUAAACCAAACUCUUGUUAUUAAACCGGUCGUCUGAGUUAAAAUUUUGAAUAAAUCAAAACUUUCAACAACGGAUCUCUUGGUUCUCGCAUCGAUGAAGAACGCAGCGAAAUGCGAUAAGUAAUGUGAAUUGCAGAAUUCAGUGAAUCAUCGAAUCUUUGAACGCACAUUGCGCCCCUUGGUAUUCCGAGGGGCAUGCCUGUUCGAGCGUCAUUACACCACUCAAGCUAUGCUUGGUAUUGGGUGCCGUCCUUAGUUGGGCGCGCCUUAAAGCCCUCGGCGAGGCCUCACCGGCUUUAGGCGUAGUAGAAUUUAUUCGAACGUCUGUCAAAGGAGAGGACUUCUGCCGACUGAAACCUUUUAUUUUUCUAGGUUGACCUCGGAUCAGGUAGGGAUACCCGCUGAACUUAAGCAUAUCAUAAAAGUCG